rnacentral:misc_RNA from 1 species
GAUGAAGAACGUAGCGAAAUGCGAUAAGUAAUGUGAAUUGCAGAAUUCAGUGAACCAUCGAGUCUUUGAACGCAAGUUGCGCCCGAAGCCACUAGGCCGAGGGCACGCCUGCCUGGGCGUCACACGCCGUUGCCCCCCCAUCUACUCCUUCGGGAUUGCGGGGGGGCGGAUGAUGGCCUCCCGUGCGCCUAGCCGCGCGGUUGGCAUAAAUACCAAGUCCUCGGCGACGCACGCCACGACAAUCGGUGGUUGCGAAACCUCGGUUGCCCGUCGUGUGCGUUCGUCGCGCAUCGAGGGCUCGAAAAAAUGCUCGGCUCCGGCUGGGCUUUCAACGCGACCCCAGGUCAGGCGGGGUUACCCGCUGAAUUUAAGCAUAUCAAUAAGCGGAGGA